rnacentral:rRNA from 1 species
UGAGUAACCUGCCCUUAACUCUGGGAUAAGCCUGGGAAACUGGGUCUAAUACCGGAUAUGACUCCUCAUCGCAUGGUGGGGGGUGGAAAGCUUUUUUGUGGUUUUGGAUGGACUCGCGGCCUAUCAGCUUGUUGGUGAGGUAAUGGCUCACCAAGGCGACGACGGAUAGCCGGCCUGAGAGGGUGACCGGCCACACUGGGACUGAGACACGGCCCAGACUCCUACGGGAGCAG